rnacentral:rRNA from 1 species
GAGAUGAGGGGCUUGCACCUAUUUUAGCGGCGGAGCGGGUGAUGAAUGCUAAGGAAUCUGCCUAUUAGUGGGGGACAACAUUCCGAAAGGAAUGCUAAUACCGCAUACGUCCUACGGGAGAAACAGGGGAUNUUCGGACCUUGCGCUAAUAGAUGAGCCUAAGUCGGAUUAGCUAGUUGGUGGGGUAAAGCCCUACCAAGGCGACGAUCUGUAGCGGGUCUGAGAGGAUGAUCCGCCACGCUGGGACUGAGACACGGCCCAGACUCNUACGGGAGGCAGCAGUGGGGAAUAUUGGACAAUGGGGGGAACCCUGAUCCAGCCAUGCCGCGUGUGUGAAGAAGGCCUUAUGGUUGUAAAGCACUUUAAGCGAGGAGGAGGCUACUGAGACUAAUACUCUUGGAUAGUGGACGUUACUCGCAGAAUAAGCACCGGCUAACUCUGUGCCUGCAGCCGCGGUAAUACAGAGGGUGCGAGCGUUAAUCGGAUUUACUGGGCGUAAAGCGUGCGUAGGCGGCUUUUUAAGUCGGAUGUGAAAUCCCCGAGCUUAACUUGGGAAUUGCAUUCGAUACUGGGAAGCUAGAGUAUGGGAGAGGAUGGUAGAAUUCCAGGUGUAGCGGUGAAAUGCGUAGAGAUCUGGAGGAAUACCGAUGGCGAAGGCAGCCAUCUGGCCUAAUACUGACGCUGAGGUACGAAAGCAUGGGGAGCAAACAGGAUUAGAUACCCUGGU